rnacentral:rRNA from 1 species
GACGAACCGUACGAACGUUAUUCGGAAUUACUGGGCUUAAAGGGUGCGUAGGCGGCGCUGAAAGUUGGGUGUGAAAUCCCUCGGCUCAACCGAGGAACUGCGCUCAAUACUCCAGUGCUCGAGGGAGAUAGAGGUAAGCGGAACUUAGGGUGGAGCGGUGAAAUGCGUUGAUAUCCUAAGGAACACCUGUGGCGAAAGCGGCUUACUGGAUCUUUUCUGACGCUGAGGCACGAAAGCUAGGGUAGCGAACGGG